rnacentral:rRNA from 1 species
GAAGGUGUAUCUAGAAAGACAAAUUAGAGCUUGAAAAGUAAAGCAUUUCAUUUACAUUGAAAAGUAUAUUGUGUAAUUCAAUUUAAUUUGAUAAUAAAAAUUUAUUAAUUUUUUUUUGUUUAAAAAUUUAUUUAAUAAAAUUAAUUUUAAAUUAAGUUUUUUUUGUAUAAUAUAUAGAUCAAAUAAUUUAUAUAAUAGUUAAUUAGUAUUGUAAAAGAGUAUUGAAAUAUUUGAAAAAGUUUUAAAUUAAAAGUAGAUUUUAUAUAUUGUACCUUGUGUAUCAGGGUUUAUUAAUUAAAAGUUAAAAAUAUUUAAUUUUUCUCGAAUUUAAGAGGGUUAAUUUAUUAUUUAAUUUUUUGUUUCAUAAAAAUUUAAAAUAAUAAAUUAGAAAUGAAAUGUUAUUCGUUCUUAAAGAUAUCUAGUUUUUUAAGAAAUAAAUUAAAUUUAGAUUAUUAAUAAAUAAUUGUUUAUUUAAAUAAUAAAUUAUUAUUAAUAAUUAAUAUUUUAAGGGAUAAGCUUUAAAGUAAGUUUUAUAAUAAUUUUUUAAUUUAAAAAUUAUAGAUUUAGAAAUAGUCAUUAAUUAUAAAAAUGUUAUAAUUUAUUUUAAAUUAAAAAUAAUUUUUAUUAAUUUAAGUUUUUAUUAAAAUAAUUUUUAAAAUUAUAUAAAAAUUAAAAUAAUGAUAAAAUUAGUAUAUUUUAAUUGUUUAAAAUAAAUAAAUUGAAAGGUUAAAUUAAGGAACUUGGCAAAUAAAUACUCGCCUGUUUAACAAAAACAUGUCUUUUUGAAUAUAAUUUAAAGUCUAAUCUGCCCACUGAAAAAUUUUAAAGGGCCGCGGUAUU